CUAAUACAUGCAAGUCGAGCGAAUGGGAUUAAGAGCUUGCUCUUAUGAAGUUAGCGGCGGACGGGUGAGUAACACGUGGGUAACCUGCCCAUAAGACUGGGAUAACUCCGGGAAACCGGGGCUAAUACCGGAUAACAUUUUGAACCGCAUGGUUCGAAAUUGAAAGGCGGCUUCGGCUGUCACUUAUGGAUGGACCCGCGUCGCAUUAGCUAGUUGGUGAGGUAACGGCUCACCAAGGCAACGAUGCGUAGCCGACCUGAGAGGGUGAUCGGCCACACUGGGACUGAGACACGGCCCAGACUCCUACGGGAGGCAGCAGUAGGGAAUCUUCCGCAAUGGACGAAAGUCUGACGGAGCAACGCCGCGUGAGUGAUGAAGGCUUUCGGGUCGUAAAACUCUGUUGUUAGGGAAGAACAAGUGCUAGUUGAAUAAGCUGGCACCUUGACGGUACCUAACCAGAAAGCCACGGCUAACUACGUGCCAGCAGCCGCGGUAAUACGUAGGUGGCAAGCGUUAUCCGGAAUUAUUGGGCGUAAAGCGCGCGCAGGUGGUUUCUUAAGUCUGAUGUGAAAGCCCACGGCUCAACCGUGGAGGGUCAUUGGAAACUGGGAGACUUGAGUGCAGAAGAGGAGAGUGGAAUUCCAUGUGUAGCGGUGAAAUGCGUAGAGAUAUGGAGGAACACCAGUGGCGAAGGCGACUUUCUGGUCUGUAACUGACACUGAGGCGCGAAAGCGUGGAGAGCACACAGGAUUAGAUACCCUGGUAGUCCACGCCGUAAACGAUGAGUGCUAAGUGUUAGAGGGUUUCCGCCCUUUAGUGCUGAAGUUAACGCAUUAAGCACUCCGCCUGGGGAGUACGGCCGCAAGGCUGAAACUCAAAGGAAUUGACGGGGGCCCGCACAAGCGGUGGAGCAUGUGGUUUAAUUCGAAGCAACGCGAAGAACCUUACCAGGUCUUGACAUCCUCUGAAAACCCUAGAGAUAGGGCUUCUCCUUCGGGAGCAGAGUGACAGGUGAUGCAUGGUUGUCGUCACCUCGGGUCGUGAGAUGUGGGUUAAGUCCCGCAACGAACGCAACCCUUGAUCUUAGUUGCCAUCAUUAAGUUGGGCACUCUAAGGUGACUGCCGGUGACAACCGGAGGAAGGGGGGGAUGACGUCAAUCUUCUUGCCCCUUUUGACCUGGCUUACCCCCCGGCUAAAAGGGGGGGAAAAAAAGCUGCAAAACCGCGGGGGGACUAUAUUCCAAAAACCCUUUUCCUUCGAAUUGGGGGGCCCCCCCAAA
rnacentral:rRNA from 1 species